rnacentral:rRNA from 1 species
UACGUAGGGUGCAAGCGUUGUCCGGAAUUAUUGGGCGUAAAGAGCUCGUAGGCGGUCUGUUGCGUCGGCUGUGAAAACCCGGGGCUCAACUCCGGGCCUGCAGCCGAUACGGGCAGACUAGAGUUCGGCAGGGGAGACUGGAAUUCCUGGUGUAGCGGUGAAAUGCGCAGAUAUCAGGAGGAACACCGGUGGCGAAGGCGGGUCUCUGGGCCUGUUCUUGACGCUGAGGCGCGAAAGCUGGGGGAGCAAACGGG